GACGAACGCUGGCGGCGUGCUUAACAUAUGCAAGUCGAACGGAAAGGCCCUGCUUUUGUGGGGUGCUCGAGUGGCGAACGGGUGAGUAACACGUGAGUAACCUGCCCUUGACUUUGGGAUAACUUCAGGAAACUGGGGCUAAUACCGGAUAGGAGCUCCUGCUGCAUGGUGGGGGUUGGAAAGUUUCGGCGGUUGGGGAUGGACUCGCGGCUUAUCAGCUUGUUGGUGGGGUAGUGGCUUACCAAGGCUUUGACGGGUAGCCGGCCUGAGAGGGUGACCGGCCACAUUGGGACUGAGAUACGGCCCAGACUCCUACGGGAGGCAGCAGUGGGGAAUAUUGCACAAUGGGCGGAAGCCUGAUGCAGCAACGCCGCGUGCGGGAUGACGGCCUUCGGGUUGUAAACCGCUUUCGCCUGUGACGAAGCGUGAGUGACGGUAAUGGGUAAAGAAGCACCGGCUAACUACGUGCCAGCAGCCGCGGUGAUACGUAGGGUGCGAGCGUUGUCCGGAUUUAUUGGGCGUAAAGGGCUCGUAGGUGGUUGAUCGCGUCGGAAGUGUAAUCUUGGGGCUUAACCCUGAGCGUGCUUUCGAUACGGGUUGACUUGAGGAAGGUAGGGGAGAAUGGAAUUCCUGGUGGAGCGGUGGAAUGCGCAGAUAUCAGGAGGAACACCAGUGGCGAAGGCGGUUCUCUGGGCCUUUCCUGACGCUGAGGAGCGAAAGCGUGGGGAGCGAACAGGCUUAGAUACCCUGGUAGUCCACGCUGUAAACGGUGGGUACUAGGUGUGGGGUCCAUUCCACGGGUUCCGUGCCGUAGCUAACGCUUUAAGUACCCCGCCUGGGGAGUACGGCCGCAAGGCUAAAACUCAAAGGAAUUGACGGGGCCCCGCACAAGCGGCGGAGCAUGCGGAUUAAUUCGAUGCAACGCGUAGAACCUUACCUGGGUUUGACAUGGAUCGGGAGUGCUCAGAGAUGGGUGUGCCUCUUUUGGGGUCGGUUCACAGGUGGUGCAUGGCUGUCGUCAGCUCGUGUCGUGAGAUGUUGGGUUAAGUCCCGCAACGAGCGCAACCCUUGUUCACUGUUGCCAGCACGUUAUGGUGGGGACUCAGUGGAGACCGCCGGGGUCAACUCGGAGGAAGGUGGGGAUGACGUCAAGUCAUCAUGCCCCUCAUGUCCAGGGCUUCACGCAUGCUACAAUGGCUGGUACAGAGAGUGGCGAGCCUGUGAGGGUGAGCGAAUCUCGGAAAGCCGGUCUCAGUUCGGAUUGGGGUCUGCAACUCGACCUCAUGAAGUCGGAGUCGCUAGUAAUCGCAGAUCAGCAACGCUGCGGUGAAUACGUUCCCGGGGCU
rnacentral:rRNA from 1 species